rnacentral:rRNA from 1 species
ACACGUAGGGGGCAAGCGUUGUCCGGAAUUACUGGGCGUAAAGGGUGCGUAGGCGGCUUUUUAAGUCGGGUGUGAAAUAUCAUGGCUCAACCAUGGAAGUGCACUCGAAACUGGAAAGCUUGAGGUCAAGCAAGGGAGACGGAAUUGCCAGUGUAGGGGUGAAAUCCGUAGAUAUUGGCAAGAACGCCAGUGGUGAAGACGGUCUCCUGUACUGAUACUGCCGCUGAGGCACGAAAGCUAGGGGAGCGAACGGGAUUAGAAACCCUAGUAGUCC